rnacentral:rRNA from 1 species
GACGGAGCAACCCCGCUUGAAUGAUGAGGUUUUUCGGAUCGUAAAGCUCUGUUGUUAGGGAAGAACAAGUGCGAGAGUAACUGCUCGCACCUUGACGGUACCUAACCAGAAAGCCACGGCUAACUACGUGCCAGCAGCCGCGGUAAUACGUAGGUGGCAAGCGUUGUCCGGAAUUAUUGGGCGUAAAGGGCUCGCAGGCGGUUUUCUAAGUCUGAUGUGAAAGCCCCCGGCUCAACCGGGGAGGGUCAUUGGAAACUGGGAAACUUGAGUGCAGAAGAGGAGAGUGGAAUUCCACGUGUAGCGGUGAAAUGCGUAGAGAUGUGGAGGAACACCAGUGGCGAAGGCGACUCUCUGGUCUGUAACUGACGCUGAGGAGCGAAAGCGUGGGGAGCGAACAGGAUUAGAUACCCUGGUAGUCCACGCCGUAAACGAUGAGUGCUAAGUGUUAGGGGGUUUCCGCCCCUUAGUGCUGCAGCUAACGCAUUAAGCACUCCGCCUGGGGAGUACGGUCGCAAGACUGAAACUCAAAGGAAUUGACGGGGGCCCGCACAAGCGGUGGAGCAUGUGGUUUAAUUCGAAGCAACGCGAAGAACCUUACCAGGUCUUGACAUCCUCUGACAACCCUAGAGAUAGGGCUUUCCCUUCGGGGACAGAGUGACAGGUGGUGCAUGGUUGUCGUCAGCUCGUGUCGUGAGAUGUUGGGUUAAGUCCCGCAACGAGCGCAACCCUUGAUCUUAGUUGCCAGCAUUCAGUUGGGCACUCUAAGGUGACUGCCGGUGACAAACCGGAGGAAGGUGGGGAUGACGUCAAAUCAUCAUGCCCCUUAUGACCUGGGCUACACACGUGCUACAAUGGACAGAACAAAGGGCUGCAAGACCGCAAGGUUUAGCCAAUCCCAUAAAUCUGUUCUCAGUUCGGAUCGCAGUCUGCAACUCGACUGCGUGAAGCUGGAAUCGCUAGUAAUCGCGGAUCAGCAUGCCGCGGUGAAUACGUUCCCGGGCCUUGUACACACCGCCCGUCACACCACGAGAGUUUGCUAACACCCGAAGUCGGUGAGGUAACCUUUAUGGAGCCA